GAGUUGAUCCUGGCCUCAGAUUGAACGCUGGCGGCAUGCCUAUACAGCAUGCAAGUCGAACGGCAGCGCGGACUUCGGUCUGGCGGCGAGUGGCGAACGAGGUGAGUAAUACAUCGUGAACGUACCCUGUUGUGGGGGAUAACUAGUCGAGAAGAUUAGCUAAUAGCCGCAUACGACCUGAGGGUGAAAGUGGGGGACCGCAAGGCCUCACGCAGCAGAGAGACGGCCGAUGUCUGAUUAGACUAGUUAGGUGGGGUAAAGGCCACACCAAGGCGACGAUCAAGUAGCUGGUCUAGAGAGGACGAUCAGACCACACUGGGACUGAGACACGGCCCAGACUCCUACGGGAGGCUAGUCAUGUGGGGAAGUUUUGGACAUAUGGGGGCAACCCUGAUCCAGACAAUGCCGCGUGUGUGAAGAAGGCCUUCGUGGUAUGUAAAGCACUUUAUGUACCUGGAACAGAAAUCCGCUGGGGUUAAUUACCCCUGGGCCGUGGGAAUUGUACCGGGUACGCGUGAAGAUAUAGGCACCCGGGCUAACUAUGCCAAGCCACGCCGCGGUAGAUUACGUUUAAGGGGGGUGCAGAAAGCCGCUUAAAUUACGUGNAAAUCAGCGUGCGUAAAAAAGGCAGAUGGCCCGAUUUUUGGUAAAGACAGGAUUGAAA
rnacentral:rRNA from 1 species